rnacentral:rRNA from 1 species
AGAACGAACGCUGGCGGCAUGCCUAACACAUGCAAGUCGAACGAGACCUUCGGGUCUAGUGGCGCACGGGUGCGUAACGCGUGGGAAUCUGCCCUUGGGUUCGGAAUAACAGUUAGAAAUGACUGCUAAUACCGGAUGAUGACGAAAGUCCAAAGAUUUAUCGCCCAGGGAUGAGCCCGCGUAGGAUUAGCUAGUUGGUGAGGUAAAGGCUCACCAAGGCGACGAUCCUUAGCUGGUCUGAGAGGAUGAUCAGCCACACUGGGACUGAGACACGGCCCAGACUCCUACGGGAGGCAGCAGUGGGGAAUAUUGGACAAUGGGCGAAAGCCUGAUCCAGCAAUGCCGCGUGAGUGAUGAAGGCCUUAGGGUUGUAAAGCUCUUUUACCCGGGAUGAUAAUGACAGUACCGGAGAAUAAGCUCCGGACUAACUCCGUGCCAGCAGCCGC